rnacentral:rRNA from 1 species
GACGUAGGGCGCGAGCGUUGUCCGGAUUUAUUGGGCGUAAAGAGCUCGUAGGCGGCUUGUUGCGUCGGCUGUGAAAUCCCAUGGCUCAACUGUGGGCUUGCAGCCGAUACGGGCGGGCUAGAGUUCGGUAGGGGAGACUGGAAUUCCUGGUGUAGCGGUGAAAUGCGCAGAUAUCAGGAAGAACACCCGUGGCGAAGGCGGCUCUCUGGAACGCAACUGACGCUGAGACGCGAAAGCGUGGGGAGCAAACAGG